rnacentral:rRNA from 1 species
UAGCCGUAAACGAUACUCGCUAGGUGUCGGCCACGGUGCGACCGUUGUCGGUGCCGUAGGGAAGCCGUGAAGCGAGCCACCUGGGAAGUACGGCCGCAAGGCUGAAACUUAAAGGAAUUGGCGGGGGAGCACAACAACGGGUGGAGCUUGCGGUUUAAUUUGGAUUCAACGCCGGAAAUCUUACCGGGACCGACAGCAACAUGAAGGCCAAGCUGAAGACUUUGCCGGAUUAGCUGAGAGGUGGUGCAUGGCGUAGUCGUGU